GACGAACGCUGGCGGCGUGCCUAAUACAUGCAAGUUGAGCGCUGAAGGUUGGUACUUGUACCAACUGGAUGAGCAGCGAACGGGUGAGUAACGCGUGGGGAAUCUGCCUUUGAGCGGGGGACAACAUUUGGAAACGAAUGCUAAUACCGCAUAAAAACUUUAAACACAAGUUUUAAGUUUGAAAGAUGCAAUUGCAUCACUCAAAGAUGAUCCCGCGUUGUAUUAGCUAGUUGGUGAGGUAAAGGCUCACCAAGGCGAUGAUACGUAGCCGACCUGAGAGGGUGAUCGGCCACAUUGGGACCGAGACACGGCCCAAACUCCUACGGGAGGCAGCAGUAGGGAAUCUUCGGCAAUGGACGAAAGUCUGACCGAGCAACGCCGCGUGAGUGAAGAAGGUUUUCGGAUCGUAAAACCCUGUUGGUAGAGAAGAACGUUGGUGAGAGUGGAAAGCUCAUCAAGUGACGGUAACUACCCAGAAAGGGACGGCUAACUACGUC
rnacentral:rRNA from 1 species